CCUACGGGAGGCAGCAGUGGGGGAUAUUGCACAAUGGGGGGAACCCUGAUGCAGCGACGCCGCGUGGGUGAAGAAGCGCCUCGGCGCGUAAAGCCCUGUCAGCAGGGCAGAAAAUGACGGUACCUGAAGAAGAAGCCCCGGCUAACGACGUGCCAGCAGCCGCGGUAGUACGUAGGGGGGCAAGCGUUAUCCGGAUGUACUGGGCGUAAAGGGGGCGCAGACGGCGAUGCAAGCCAGGAGUGAACGCCCGGGGCCCGACCCCGGGACUGCUGUUGGAACUGGGUGGCUGGAGGGCCGGAGGGGCAGGCGGAAGUGCGGGGGUAGCGGGGAAAUGCGUAGAUAGCAGGAGGAAGAGCGGUGGGGAAGGCGGCCUGGUGGACUGCAAGUGACGUUGAGGCCCGAAAGCGUGGGGAGCAAACAGGAUUAGAUACCCCAGUAGUG
rnacentral:rRNA from 1 species